CAGGUGAAUAAACAAAAUAUUUAUUUUUGCAAAAUAGAAUUAGGAAGAUAUAACUAUUUAGAAGAUAUAACUGCUUCAACUGUGCAAAAUUACACAGGUUGCAACCAUUGUGCUGUUCCAUAUCCAGGGGCAGAAAUGAGGCUGGGUUUGCCAAAGAUCUGUGCACAAAGGCAGUGGGCUGAGCCACCCUGUCCUUCAGCAGGUUUCAGUCUUCCACCAGCUCUGCAUUUUCCCAAAGUUUCUGCAUUUUUGAAACCUCCUGCUCUUUGUCAAAUUUGGCUGCAAUGCUGCUGUCAGUUCAAAGAUUGUGGAAAGGGAAGGAGGAAGGACAGACAUGAAGGUGGAAAGAAAAUUUCCUUCUAUGAUCCUCUCCAAAGGAAACCACUGAAGUUCAUCCUCAGAGGAAGAAGAGCCCCUGUGCUCAUCUGGGCUUGGGAACAGCAGCUCCCUUGAACACAGCAGGCAUUCAACCUGAAGCUGAGCAGGUUCAGGCACCGAGCCACGAAGCUGUAAGUGUGCAGGCUUGCCUUGCAUAAAGAGGGAAUUGUGAGUUGUUAGCUGAGGGAGAUAGCUGCUGGUUGGAAAUAAGAGAAAAUGCAUUAAUAGAAAUUCAAUUUAAGUUAAGAAAAAAAAAAAUAGGAGACCAGCCUAGUUAAUUUCAUAAGGAUCCAUGAGUGAAAAAGUAAGACCUUUAGUUAGGAAAUAAUUGCACACUUAUGACCUGAGGCAACAGUCAGAACUUGCUAAAAAAAUGGCACAUGUCAUUAAAUUUAAUAAUGCUUAAUUAUAGAAUCAUAAAUAUUUGAGAUUGGAAAGGCCCAUCAAGUCACUUAAGUCCCCCUCCUUAGCAAGGCAAGACUGUUCCCUGUUGCACAUAUGCUGGUAUGUUUUCUACAGACUAUUAGAACCCAUUGUCAGGAGGAUUUGCCUUAAAUUCUGCAGUUUUCUCUUUCUUAAUUUCAUUCCAUUACUCCCUGAUAUACCAGCUUGUUUCCUGCUAAGUAAUUCCUUUCCUUCCCUAGUGUGUGUGUGUGUCAGUCAAACAUUUGUAGAUGGUUGGAAUGCCUCUCCUUAGUUAUCACUUAGCCAAACUCGACAUAUUUAUUUAGUUCUUUUAAUCUUCCUCAUAGGUAAAUCCCUCCAGUCCCUUAAUUAUUUUGUUGCUCUUUUCUGAACUCUCUCUUUCCAAACCCUUCUUGUAGUCAUAUUAAAUGCAGUAUCCUAGUUCUUGUCAUCCAGAACCAUGGAAAAAUCAGGGUGCUGUUGCCUCUCUGUUGCAUUGUGAUGUGUCUGACCCACAAUAAUAUUUUUCCUCCUGAUCUAUCAUGCUGAGCACCAUGCAAGGCUGUAGAGGUCAAGACAACCUCUGUUUUUAAAACUCUGCCCUGCAGCUAUUCCUUACGGUGCUGUCAGCAGGGAAGACAUUUUGUCUUCUAAAAUCUUACUUCUGAUA
rnacentral:lncRNA from 1 species